rnacentral:tRNA from 1 species
GCCUCUGUAGCUCAGCUGGUAGAGCGGCAGCCUCGUAAGCUGUUGGACAUGAUCAAAUCGAUUGGUUAUGGACAAAUCGCGGGUUCAAAUCCCGUCAGGGGCU